UCCCUACGGGCGGCUGCAGUGGGGAAUAUUGCACAAUGGGGGAAACCCUGAUGCAGCCAUGCCGCGUGUGUGAAGAAGGCCUUCGGGUUGUAAAGCACUUUCAGCGAGGAGGAAAGGUUGGCAGCUAAUACCUGUCAGCUGUGACGUUACUCGCAGAAGAAGCACCGGCUAACUCCGUGCCAGCAGCCGCGGUAAUACGGAGGGUGCAAGCGUUAAUCGGAAUUACUGGGCGUAAAGCGCACGCAGGCGGUUGGAUAAGUUAGAGGUGAAAGCCCCGGGCUCAACCUGGGAAGUGCAUUUAAAACUGUCCAGCUAGAGUCUUGUAGAGGGGGGUAGAAUUCCAGGUGUAGCGGUGAAAUGCGUAGAGAUCUGGAGGAAUACCGGUGGCGAAGGCGGCCCCCUGGACAAAGACUGACGCUCAGGUGCGAAAGCGUGGGGAGCAAACAGGAUUAGAUACCCCAGUAGUCAU
rnacentral:rRNA from 1 species